rnacentral:lncRNA from 1 species
UAAGAAUGUUUGCGGUCCCUUAGAAAUACAGCUGCUGUGCUUUUUACUGGGAGUGUGAAGAGCUCAAUUUUGGUGCAACUUGUGAGCCCCACAUAUAUUAGCAUUACAAAAUAUACAUUACUUGCUGAGAAUGAAAGGAAUUAGAUUGGUGGUAUGUGUUGUAUACGAUUGUGCACCUUAAUGUUUUUAGCUCAUUGAGUACACGAGAAAGUGUAAAUCUUAGACGCCAAGUUAGAAGAUUUCUCUCACAAAAUUGAGAUCUUGUUCACUCUUAAAUCGCUCUUAUCCUCCUUUAUGUCGGCCAUUUUAAUUCCUUUGUCAGCAUAUUAGAGCUUGGCUAAUG